CUUCACCCGCAAAAAAUAUACAGUUCUCCACAGGCCUGCCCAAUAUGUCAUAAUCUUCUCCAGACGACCCUACAGCCACAUAAGAGUAAGCCCCGUAGCUAUAAGGAUCUUUUCCCCAGUCGGUGACCACGGAAGCAACUGGAUCAGGUACCCUGUUCUCACCAUGACCCGACAGCCACAUAAGAGUAAGCCCCGUAGCUAUAAGGAUCUUUUCCCCAGUCAGUGACCACAGAAGCAACUGGAUCAGGUACCCUGUUCUCACCAUAAAGCUUGCGCAGAACCAGUAAUGAAUGCUUUACAUGGUCAGAGGAGCUCAUCUCCUGGCCAUCUAUAGCAGCUUUUCCAACCACUAACGCUAUAAGAACAGGUGCCCCAACAGUUUUCUUGACAUUCC
rnacentral:lncRNA from 1 species